GCCCGAUCAAAGUAGUUAGCUGCUAUGGAAGUUUAGAUCAGGACUCUGACACUGGACUACUCCCCCGGGUUUCGAUCACGCCUUUGACAAGGAGAUGCAAAGAACAGACCGCAUACAAUGUAUCCCCAUGUAUAAUCGCGUCCCUUGUUUCCCUAUUUCAAGCCGGCAACAUUUAAAGAGAAGCCACCCAAAGGCAACAGUGGGUUAUUCGCUGGUGGCAUAUUUGUUGAUGUUAAUAUUACUAAUCACUGGCAUUCGUUCAGAGUUGCAUAUUCUGCUACUAAUACAACACUUGGGGGAUGCAUUUAUUAAUCAGCAUCGAAAAUAAGGUGUCUCACAACAGCGUGGGGAAAACUUGAGAUGAAUUUCAACGGCAGAACCACUCCCUAAGAGGAACUCUGACUUCGGUACUAGCGCGGGGGAAAAGCCAAGAGAGACCGCAGCAAUCCAGCCGUUCGUGUACAAAAAGAGGAAACUGACCCAGUGAGUGACACGUUAUUUUUAAGGGGCGAGCUACCGCUGUUGGAAAGUUUAAGGCUGUCGCUGAGACAGACGUGAGAUGAAAACUGAAAGCGUAACUAGCUACAAGCAAAACCCGAUGGCUUUUGUUUUGCAUUCUUCCCCCAUCCGAUUGCAUUUCUCACUUUUAGGAAGACGUAAUGGUCUGGAGAGAACGGCACCAACCUCCUCCCCCCAAGAAACCGGCUCGUCACAGUUUACUCUCAUCUCCUUAUAACUGCAGUUAGAUUUGGAAGCUCUGCAUGUCAUGAGCACAGGACGAACACACAGUAUGUGAGAAUCUUUUGGCAGUUCCAUCACCAGCGACAUCCAGAGUAGAAGAGACAUCAAAAAGAAGGUUCAUCUCAUCUGAAGGAGAGGUAGGGAUCCUGACCUUGCCGUGCUCCAUUGCCCCCGGCUGGCCCCUCGCUCCAGCGACCCACCCCACCAUGCCAAUGGAGGUUCACAAAUAUGUUUGGCGCUGUGCCCACAAAAGGUUAAUCCGGCCCUGGAUUAAACACUCAGGUUCCAUAUUGGGUGCCUGCAAGGUUAAUGAUUCAACAUAUAUUGUUUCAAGCACAGAUGAAAAUGAAGAUGAGAUCUGAAUUAUACAUUUUUUGAUGUAAGAUAUUAAGUGUUGAUAAUUUGUAUAACUAUGGUUUCUUUUAAAAGAAAAUGGCGCAGCACCUUUUGUCUGGCAAUCUAAAAAUGCUUUAAACACUAAUUAAUUUUAUUCAAACUACUAAAAAGUAGGUAUUAUCCCUGUCUUUACAUGGAGGAAUGGAACCACAAAGGGGUAUUGGCCCUGUGAUGGGGCUUAAUCCCGAUCACCUGUAAGGCAAGGGAAAGAAGCUAGUUAGUUAUGCUCUGCACCCGGGAGGAGAUUCACUAAUUGUCUCCUGGACAGAGGCAGUGGAGCUAGGCUGUAUACGGAGCUGAGGGAGGGGCACUGAUGGGUUGAUGGCACUAGGAGACAGCAGCUAGUGACAGUUUUCUCUCCCUAGGAAGGACCUGGAAGAAAUUUGGGAUUGGCUGUGGCCAGAAAGUAGACUACAGGAGUAGCAUUAAGGGUCGAUGUGCACCAGGGAAUGAGAUGGAAGCCCAUGAGAGGUGAAGGCUAGUUUUAGUGGUACUUUGACCUGCUUGAGGGAAAAGCCUUGAAGAUCAGUAUCCUGACAAGGGACAAUUCAAGUUGAGUCUAAGAGGGGCAAAGGACCUUUGGUUUAAAACUGAAUCCCUGAAAGGGACUGACAUGUUGUUUGACUUGGAUAGAGGGCUAAGCCACAGAAGACCCAGUGAGAGAGUCCAGAGAAGAGACUGAUGAGGAUUGGUCAAUAUGGUCAAGAAAGUGGCCCCCAAAGGGGUAUGAGAGGCAAAUGCUGUAUCUGGGCAGGAGAGGGUGUCCUAGAGGUAAGGAUAACUUUGACAGGCCCUAAUUCAGGAAUAUAGUUAAGCACAUGCUUAACUUGAAUCAUGUCCCAUUGAAAUCAAAUCAAGCUAUGCACAUACUGUUGCAUGUCCCUGAAUAGGGAUGGAUGGAUGUGCUUUCCUAAAGCAGGGAGUAAGGGCCAUAUUUUCAAGGUAUUCAGGCACCUAAAGAUGCAGGUAUGUACCUAGUGGGAUUUUCAGAACACCUAAAGAGGUUAGGUUCCUAAAUUGCAUUGAUUUCAGAGGGAGUUAGGCACCUAGGGCCUCUUGAAAAUCCCAUGAGCUGUCUACUGCAUCUUUAGGUACCUAAAUACCUUUGGCCAUAUGUGACUUACCUAAGGGUGUGCACUGAGUCAGGAGCAGAGCCAGAAAGAAAUCUUAAGUUUGCAAGUCCUCUGCCCUAAGCACUAGAUAACACUGUCUCUAUUCUUUCUUUUUGUAAUCUUGGUCCAUGACCUAGUCCUACAAAUGCUUUGUUCUCAUAAUUAGUCCCAUGGAAGUCAAUGGAACUGCUCACAUGAGUAAAGUUAUUCAUAUAUGUAAAGCUUUGCAGGAUCAGGCCUAUUAAUUACAGGCCUCCCUUUCUCCGUUUUGCUAUACUUCUCAAUUUUUUGGGUUGAGCAGCAGGCAGGUGUUCUUAAACUGAUAACGGAACCCCUGAGAAAGAAAUUACCUGACCACCCACGGGAUAAUCAGAGGAGGUGAAAUCACAGUAAAGCUGAGCGUCAGCUUUGCAUCUAGGACAAAAUAAAUGUAUAUUUUCUGCCAGACAACUGUGUUUGUCCUGAGGAAAGCCUUAGGAAUGAAGCUCUGGCAUUUUUCCACAUGGAAUGACUGCAUCUAUGGAAAAAGCAUGAGUACUCAGCUGGCUUUCUGCUUAUGUGCAUUGUGUUGUGUCCCAGGUUACUGUGAACUUCUUUUUAAAAUCAAAGUACUGAGGUUUCACUCUUACCUAUGAGUUUUAUUAAACAUAUGGGCACUGUUGAGCUCAUAAAGUACUGUCCCCAGCUUUUAACCUUGAUCUCAGUGAAUGCUGGAAAUUUUCAGUCUUUUCCUCGGUUGUUUUCCAACUACCGGCUGGAAAGCUAGAGGGUAUGUCCCCAUGGCAUUAGGCACUGGAACAUUUACACUCCAAUGCAGUUAUAAUGGGGAAGACUGUCCAAGUUUUCAGCGAAUUGUAUAAUUUUUUAAAAUGCUACUAGGGUUUGAUGUGAUAUAGUUUAUACAAAUUUAUUUGUAAUUGGGUAUUUUUGCUUCUAAUCCUUCACAACUAUCAUCAUUCUGUUAAAGGUGACAUGAAAAAGAAUGGACUUGUGCCCCUUUUUCAAAUAUUAGAAAUCCAAGGCUUAUCAUACCUGAAAUACUUCAGGGAUCAUUGAAGACCCAA